UGAGGCCGACAGGCGUAGGCGAUGGAUAACAGGUUGAUAUUCCUGUACCACCUAUAAUCGUUUUAAUCGAUGGGGGGACGCAGUAGGAUAGGCGAAGCGUGCGAUUGGAUUGCACGUCUAAGCAGUAAGGCUGAGUAUUAGGCAAAUCCGGUACUCGUUAAGGCUGAGCUGUGAUGGGGAGAAGACAUUGUGUCUUCGAGUCGUUGAUUUCACACUGCCGAGAAAAGCCUCUAGAUAGAAAAUAGGUGCCCGUACCGCAAACCGACACAGGUAGUCAAGAUGAGAAUUCUAAGGUGAGCGAGCGAACUCUCGUUAAGGAACUCGGCAAAAUGACCCCGUAACUUCGGGAGAAGGGGUGCUCUUUAGGGUUAACGCCCAGAAGAGCCGCAGUGAAUAGGCCCAAGCGACUGUUUAUCAAAAACACAGGUCUCUGCUAAACCGUAAGGUGAUGUAUAGGGGCUGACGCCUGCCCGGUGCUGGAAGGUUAAGAGGAGUGGUUAGCUUCUGCGAAGCUACGAAUCGAAGCCCCAGUAAACGGCGGCCGUAACUAUAACGGUCCUAAGGUAGCGAAAUUCCUUGUCGGGUAAGUUCCGACCCGCACGAAAGGCGUAACGAUUUGGGCACUGUCUCAACGAGAGACUCGGUGAAAUCAUAGUACCUGUGAAGAUGCAGGUUACCCGCGACAGGACGGAAAGACCCCGUGGAGCUUUACUGUAGCCUGAUAUUGAAAUUCGGCACAGCUUGUACAGGAUAGGUAGGAGCCUUUGAAACGUGAGCGCUAGCUUACGUGGAGGCGCUGGUGGGAUACUACCCUAGCUGUGUUGG
rnacentral:rRNA from 1 species